ACUAACGGGCUGGACCGAUUUCUAUAGAGUCUGCUGUGAGCUGCGAAUGGCUCAUUAGAUCAGUUAUAGUUUAUUUGAUGGUGCUUCCUACUCGGAUAACCGUAGGAAAACUAGAGCUAAUACGUGCGUAUAAUCCCGACCUCUGGAAGGGACGUAAGAUUUUAUUAAGCGGAGCAGGCCGACUCGCUUCGUCCGACCGUGAAUCAUGAUAACUUCACGAAUCGCAUGGCCUUGCGCCGGCGAUGUUUCAUUCAAAUUUCUGCCCUAUCAACUUUCGACGGUAGGGUAGACCGUGGCCUUGGUGAACGUUAACGGGUGAUCGAUGGAUUAGGGUUCCGGAGAGGGAGCCUGAGAAACGGCUACCACAUCCAAGGAAGGCAGCAGGCGCGCAAAUUACCCAAAUCCCAACUCGGGGAGGUAGUGACAAGAAACUCCUAACGAUGGGCCGGUAAAACGGUCGUCGGCAAUAAUGAGAAUUAAAUCCCUUAUCGAGGAUCAAUUGGAGGGCAAGUCUGGUGCCAGCAGCCGCGGUAAUUCCAGCUCCAAUAGCGUAUAUUUAAGUUGCUGCGGUUAAAAAGCUCGUAGUCGGAUUUCGGGUGGUUCCUACCGGUCCGCCUUUGGUGAGUACUGGUAGGCGCCACCUUUCACGGGUUCCUGGGCUUGCCGAGGUAACUGUCUGGGUCCCGGAGUCGGCGUUGUCACUUUGAGUAAAUUAGGGUGUUUAGCUUAAAGCAGUGCUCUGUAUACACUAGCAUGGGAUGACACGAUAGGACUUCGGUCUUAUCUUGUGUAUUGGUCGGUCGGAGUAAUGAUUAAGAGGGACAGUCGGGGGCAUUCGUAUUUCGUAGUCAGAGGUGAAAUUCUUGGAUUUACGGAAGACGAACUUCUGCGAAAGCAUUUGCCAAGGAUGUUUUCAUUGAUCAAGAACGAACGGAGUGGGCUCGAAGACGAUUAGAUACCGUCGUAGUCUCGACCAUAAACGAUGCCGACUAGGGAUCGGAGGUGGUUCUGUGAUGACCUCUCCGGCACCUUACGAGAAAUCAAAGUUUUUGGGUUCCGGGGGGAGUAUGCAAGGCUGAAACUUAAAGGAAUUGGGUCACGGAAGGGCACCACCAGGCGUGGAGCCUGCGGCUUAAUUUGACUGGGAAACCAACACGUUACCAGGUCCAGACAUGGGUAGGAUUGACAGAUUGAUAGCUCUUUCUUGAUUCUGGUGCUAUGGGUGGAUGGCCGUUCUUAGUUGGUGGGUUGGCUUGUCAGGUUGAUUCCGGUAACGAACGAGACCUCAGCCUGCUAAAUAGUCACGUCUGGUUCGCCAGACGGCAGACUUCUUAGAGGGACUAUUAGCGAUCUAUUUCAGAUUGAAGUAUGAGGCAAUAACAGGUCUGUGAUGCCCUUAGAUGUUCUGGGCCGCACGCGCGCUACACUCGUUCAGACGACGAGCCUCCUGGUCACGAGAGGACCGGGUAAUCUUGUAAACCGCGUCGUGAUGGGGCUAGAGCUUUGUAAUUAUUGCUCUUUAACGAGGAAUGCCUAGUAAGCGCGAGUCAUCAGCUCGCGUUGAUUAUGCCCGUCCCCUUUGUACACACCGCCCGUCGCUCCUUCCGAUUGGGUGUGCUGGUGAAGAGUUCCCCAAGAACAAAAGUCACACUCAUUCACAU
rnacentral:rRNA from 1 species